rnacentral:misc_RNA from 1 species
GAUGAAGAACGCAGCGAAAUGCGAUAAGUAAUGUGAAUUGCAGAAUUCAGUGAAUCAUCGAAUCUUUGAACGCACCUUGCACCCUUUGGUAUUCCGAAGGGUAUGCUCGUUUGAGUGUCAUUGUACUCUCACACUUCUAAUUCCUUUCGGGAUUGGGAGCGGUGGACUUGGGUGUUGCUGCUUUAGUUGUGGCUCACCUCAAAUAAGUUAGUGCAACUCUUGGUUGGACAUAGUACGGCGUGAUAAGUGUCUUCGCCGGCGCCUCUGUAAGGAGGGUGGCCGAUCGGGAGCUCUGUGCUUCAAACCGUCUUCGGACAAUCUUUGACAACUUGGCCUCAAAUCGAGUAGGACUACCCGCUGAACUUAAGCAUAUCAAUAAGCGGAGGA